rnacentral:tRNA from 1 species
CAGAGAUCAGGACAUAGAAAUAGCUGCUAACUAAUUUCUAAAGCGGUUCAACUCCGUUUAUCUCUUA